GGACCUGACAGCUAUCGGAUUCGAUACUAAGCCAUGCGAGUCAUUGUAGCAAUACAAGGCAUACGGCUCAGUAACGCGUAGUCAACCUAACCUAUGGACGGGAAUAACCUCGGGAAACUGAGAAUAAUGCCCGAUAGAACAUUAUGCCUGGAAUGGUUUAUGUUCCAAAUGAUUUAUCGCCGUAGGAUGGGACUGCGGCCUAUCAGUUUGUUGGUGAGGUAAUGGCCCACCAAGACUAUUACAGGUACGGGCUCUGAGAGGAGUAGCCCGGAGAUGGGUACUGAGACACGGACCCAGGCCCUAUGGGGCGCAGCAGGCGAGAAAACUUUGCAAUGUGCGAAAGCACGACAAGGUUAAUCCGAGUGGUUUCUGCUAAAGAAACCUUUUGUCAGUCCUAGAAACACUGAUGAAUAAGGGGUGGGCAAGUUCUGGUGU
rnacentral:rRNA from 1 species